rnacentral:rRNA from 1 species
GAUGAACGCUGGCGGCGUGCCUAAUACAUGCAAGUCGAGCGAACAGACGAGGAGCUUGCUCCUCUGACGUUAGCGGCGGACGGGUGAGUAACACGUGGAUAACCUACCUAUAAGACUGGGAUAACUUCGGGAAACCGGGGCUAAUACCGGAUAAUAUAUUGAACCGCAUGGUUCACUAGUGAAAGACGGUUUUGCUGUCACUUAUAGAUGGAUCCGCGCCGCAUUAGCUAGUUGGUAAGGUAACGACUUACCAAGGCAACGAUGCGUAGCCGACCUGGGAGGGUGAUCGGCCACACUGGAACUGAGACACGGUCCAGACUCCUACGGGAGGCAGCAGUAUGGAAUCUUCCGCAAUGGGCGAAAGCUUGACGGAGCAACGCCGCGUGAGUGAUGAAGGUCUUCGGAUCGUAAAACUCUGUUAUUAGUGAAGAACAAAUGUGUAAGUAACUAUGCACGUCUUGACGGUACCUAAUCAGAAAGCCACGGCUAACUACGUG